rnacentral:rRNA from 1 species
UACGUAGGGGGCAAGCGUUGUUCGGAUUUACUGGGCGUAAAGGGCGCGUAGGCGGCGUGACAAGUCACUUGUGAAAUCUCCGGGCUUAACUCGGAACGGUCAAGUGAUACUGUUGUGCUAGAGUGCAGAAAGGGCAACUGGAAUUCUUGGUGUAGCGGUGAAAUGCGUAGAUAUCAAGAGGAACACCAGAGGCGAAGGCGAGUUGCUAGGCUGACACUGACGCUGAGGCGCGAAAGCUAGGGGAGCGAACGGG